rnacentral:rRNA from 1 species
ACGAACGCUGGCGGCAGUGCCUAACACAUGCAAGUCGAACGAGAGUGCUUCGCCUAUACACGAGUGGCGCACGGGUGAGUAACGCGUAGGUAACUCUGCCUUUGAGCUUGGGAAUAACCCGGCGAAAAUGGGGCUAAUACCGGAUAGACCGAUUUCUUACGGGAUUGUCAAAGGUCUCCUCUGCAUCAACGAUCGCUUGAGAUGCCGCGUCCCGAUUAGCUAGUUGGUGAGGGUAACGGCCUCACCAAGGCCAACGAUCGGUUAGCUGGUCUGAGAGGAUGAUCAGCCACACUGGACUGAGACACGGUCCAGACUCCUACGGGAGGCAGCAGUGGGGAAUAUUGCGACAAUGGGGCGAACCCUGAUCGCAGCAACUGCCGCGUGAGUGAUGAAGGCCUUCGGGUCGUAAAGCUCUUUGGCGGAGGGACGAUGCCUCGGGUUAUCCCCGAGUGACGGUACCCUCAAGGAAGCACCGGCUAACUCUGUGCCAGCAGCCGCGGUAAGACGAAGGGGGCUAGCGUUGUUCGGAAUCAUUGGGCGUAAAGCGCGUGUAGGCGGUUUGUCAAGUCUGGAUGUGAAAGCCCCUGAGCUCAACUCAAGGAACGACAUCAGGAACUGGGCUAGACUAGAGGACCGGAGAGGGAUAGGUGGAAUUCCCAGUGUAGCUGGUGAAAUACGUAGAGAUCGGGAAGGAACACCUAGUGGCGAAGGCGGCCUCUCUGGUACGGUUACUGACGCUGAGACGCGAAAGCGUGGGGAGCAAACAGGAUUAGAUACCCUGGUAGUCCACGCUGUAAACGAUGGGGCCUAGGUUCGGCGAGUAUUGACCCCUGGGUGUCCGCAGCUAACGCAGUUAAGUGCACCCCGCCUGGGGAGUACGGCCGCAAGAGUUGAAAACUCAAAGGAAUUGACGGGGGCCCGCACAAGCGGUGGAGCAUGUGGUUCAAUUCGACGCAACGCGAAGAACCUUACCUGGGCUAGACAACGGCGGACCGUCCAUGAAAGUGGAUCUUCCCUUCGGGGACCGCCGGUUCAGGUGCUGCAUGGCUGUCGUCAGCUCGAGCCGUGAGGUGUUGGGUUAAGUCCCGCAACGAGCGCAACCCUCGCCCUUAGUUGCCACCAUUCAGUUGGGCACUCUAGGGGGACUGCCGGCGUUAAGCCGGAGGAAGGUGGGGACGACGUCAAGUCAUCAUGGCCCUUAUGUCCAGGGCCACACACGUGCUACAAUGGGCGGUACAAAGGGUCGCUAACCCGCGAGGGGGAGCCAAUCCCAAAAAGCCGCUCUCAGUUCGGAUUGGAGUCUGCAACUCGACUCCAUGAAGCUGGAAUCGCUAGUAAUCGCGGGUCAGAACGCCGCGGUGAAUACGUUCCCGGGCCUUGUACACACCGCCCGUCACACCAUGGAAGCCAGCUGUACCGGAAGUCGGUGCGCCAACCCGCAAGGGAGGUAGCCGCCUAUGGUAUGACUGGUGACUGGGGUG